GACGAACGCUGGCGGCGUGCUUAACACAUGCAAGUCGAACGGAAAGGCCCUGCUUUUGUGGGGUGCUCGAGUGGCGAACGGGUGAGUAACACGUGAGUAACCUGCCCUUGACUUUGGGAUAACUUCAGGAAACUGGGGCUAAUACCGGAUAGGAGCUCCUGCUGCAUGGUGGGGGUUGGAAAGUUUCGGCGGUUGGGGAUGGACUCGCGGCUUAUCAGCUUGUUGGUGGGGUAGUGGCUUACCAAGGCUUUGACGGGUAGCCGGCCUGAGAGGGUGACCGGCCACAUUGGGACUGAGAUACGGCCCAGACUCCUACGGGAGGCAGCAGUGGGGAAUAUUGCACAAUGGGCGCAAGCCUGAUGCAGCAACGCCGCGUGAGGGAUGACGGCCUUCGGGUUGUAAACCUCUUUUAGCAGGGAAGAAGCGAAAGUGACGGUACCUGCAGAAAAAGCGCCGGCUAACUACGUG
rnacentral:rRNA from 1 species